GACGAACGCUGGCGGCGUGCUUAACACAUGCAAGUCGAACGGAAAGGCUCCAGCUUGCUGGAGUACUCGAGUGGCGAACGGGUGAGUAACACGUGGGUAAUCUGCCCUGCACUCUGGGAUAAGCCUGGGAAACUGGGUCUAAUACUGGAUAUGACCUUUCUCCUUAUGGGGUUUGGUGGAAAGUUUUUCGGUGUAGGAUGAGCCCGCGGCCUAUCAGCUUGUUGGUGGGGUGAUGGCCUACCAAGGCGACGACGGGUAGCCGGCCUGAGAGGGUGAUCGGCAACAUUGGGAUGGAGAUACGGCCCAGCCUCCGCGGGGAGGAAGGAGGGGGGAAUAUUGCACAAGGGGGGGAGGCCUGAUGCAGCGACGCCGCGGGGGGGGGGACGGCCUUGGGUUUGUACCCCUCUUGCAGCAGGGAGGAAGCGUAAGGGAGGGUCCGUGAAGAAGAACCACGGCAAAAUUAGGGC
rnacentral:rRNA from 1 species